UACGUAGGGGGCGAGCGUUGUCCGGAUUUAUUGGGCGUAAAGCGCGCGCAGGCGGUCUGUUAAGUCUGGUGUGAAAGCUCCCGGCUCACCUGGGAGAGGGCACUGGAGACUGGCAGACUGGAGGGCGGCAGAGGCCGGUGGAAUUCCCGGUGUAGUGGUGAAAUGCGUAGAGAUCGGGAGGAACACCAGUGGCGAAGGCGGCCGGCUGGGCCGUGCCUGACGCUGAGGCGCGAAAGCGUGGGGAGCGAACCGG
rnacentral:rRNA from 1 species